CAUCUAACACUACUAAAAGCCGAAUAAGAAGAGCAACGAGCGUGCCACGUAGGAUUUUUUAUUCAGGCCAAUCAUGAAGCUCUGUUUUGCCACGUCACUUUUAUUUUGUCGACAAAAAAUUUAAAAGGUCCAGUAAAUCUGGGCUGAACAAAAAAAAAUAGACCUAUAUAGAACAGCCCAUAUCUUAUUCUACGCAGAAUGUUCGUCGCCUUCAACUCCGACUCUUCCAAUUCACUAUUCUAAUCUCUGCAAUCUCUCUGUAAUUAUUACACCCCAAUCUUGCUCAUUCAAUUCUGAUAUUUUCUCCUAUCUUCAUUAGAGAUUAUCGUUCCACCUUCCUUUGUUUUUCCUGUUAUAUAAACCCCUUGAUGAUAUGAUAAGACAGGUCCGUUAACUAUUGUCAUUCCAGCCUGAGUUAUCUAAAAUAUGAACCCUCGAUUCCAGAUUCAUAACACAAUGACAAUUUGUUGUUCUCUACAUUUGAAAGUCAGUCGUAGAACUCGGCCUCACGCUGGUGCUGAUCGUCUUCUCCGUCGUCGUUUUAGAAGCUUGGAGAAGGAGACACAGUAACGUUUCUGUCGACACCGUGACAACUACACUCGAGGGUCCUACAUCUUAAAAACAGGUACUGUCUGAAUUCAAUAUAUUUUUUCUGGGAUUUUUCUGUUAGUGUGUUUACAGUUAAUGGAACUGAGAAAAGGUCUUGCCUUUGAAUCCUAUUAGCCUAUAGAACGUUUAAAGACGAGAGCUUUGACAUUAUUAUUAUUAUUAGUAUUUGUAGGAGAGUUUGUCUAACGAUGUGUGUUGUUUAAGAAAUAAAAGAGUAAAACAGACAGAUCGUGGAUGCGCAGUUGUAUGAUAAUAAUUUCAAGAGAGGAGCAAGCAAAAAGCUUCACUUGAGAAGGAAAUUCAUCAUACUGUCGGUAGAAAGAUAAGAAGAAAAGUUGAUGACGAGAUCAACAACAGAUUGAGUUUGGGAACACUUUUCUUCCAGCCUAACUUCCUGGUUACGGUUGAGCAGAUUCUUGAAGAUGCUCCCAAAGUCUUAGAUCUGCGAUUGGCUACUUUAUGAAAUCCAUUGAAGGGACAUGCUGGAUUAUCUAAUGAUGAUAAAGACGAAAACGGAAGGACUCUAGAGGUACAUGAAAUUAUCGAUACCUUUUUGAUGUAUCUUAAUACGGGUCAUGAAUCCUCUGGACACACGCAUUAUUUGGGCUACCCCCUCAGAUACUACAGAAGAUAAAUGUAAAAUAAUAAUAUAUGUUUAUAUAAUCCUUUUCCAUUUAUUUUUACAAGCUUGAAUAGUAAUUUUCCUUAUAUACACAGGGAUAACAAGAUGCGAUUGUUAAAAACUAAGCAGUGUACCAGAAAUUGAGUAAAAAACAGAGACGUACAAAUGUACAAUGACUUACUACUACCUUUCUCAGGCGUCUCAUUGCAAAACAAGUUUAAGGCGUCUAAAAUUAAUACAUCUUAUUUAUAGGGAAGCUAAUGUUUGCUUCAUCAUCGGUGACACAAUUUUACUUUGGCAACACAAUACAAAUCAUUAGAGACUUCAGAAGCAUGAUAAGAGUCAAGUUUAAUGCAUGAGUUUGAACAAAACAACACCAAACUCAGAGGAUGAUCUUCAAGAAAACUUAACUAAAAUCAACAUUUCAAGUCUUUCAGACUGUCUAAUAAUUUAGAUAGCAUAAUCAGUCGUCUAAGUAUAAAAUAUUUAUAUUCAAAUAUGUUUGCUUCAUCAUCGGUGACACAAUUUUACUUUGGCAACACAAUACAAAUCAUUAGAGACUUCAGAAGCAUGAUAAGAGUCAAGUUUAAUGCAUGAGUUUGAACAAAACAACACCAAACUCAGAGGAUGAUCUUCAAGAAAACUUAACUAAAAUCAACAUUUCAAGUCUUUCAGACUGUCUAAUAAUUUAGAUAGCAUAAUCAGUCGUCUAAGUAUAAAAUAUUUAUAUUCAAAUAUGAAUUCUAAAAUAAUCUUAAUUUAAUUUAAAUAUAUGAAAAA